CUUUGCUGAUCUUCUCUGGGUCUGCUUAAGCCUUUUGGCAGGAGGUAACUGGGGCAACAUUGUGCUGCUGAUGCACACGGUGGCAUAAUGGUGGCUGCUGCCCUAUCAGCUCCAGCACUGCUGUUCCAUGGCACUGCUUUCGUGCUGCUGGGCCCCUUUCUGGUGUUGUUGAGCACCUGCUGCAUUAACCAAUGGACUGCCCAGGAAAUAUGUGUAAUUUUGGUCACUUGGCUGCAGGCAGCUGCCACGAGGAAGCACAUGGGUGUGCACGUUCCUUCAGCAGCACUCAGCAGGCAAUGCAGCCAGCUUUCUGGAGAGAUGGGACUGCAGACCACACGUUGGGAACCCAGAGCCUGGAGCAGGUGCUGUGUUGGGGGGAAUGAGUCCAUCAGCAAACAGAGCCGGCUGGGGGGAGCGCGGGGAGGGCUUGGUUCAGUAACCGAGUUGCCUACAUUCAAAGAGCUAACGUACAAGAUAUUACUGCUGAAGGCAUUCUCACUAUUGCCAAGGGCUUAA
rnacentral:lncRNA from 1 species